rnacentral:rRNA from 1 species
CUACGGGUCGCUCCAGCGGGGAAUAUUGCACAAUGGAGGAAACUCUGAUGCAGCAACGCCGCGUGGAGGAUGACACUUUUCGGAGCGUAAACUCCUUUUAUAUAGGAAGAUAAUGACGGUACUAUAUGAAUAAGCACCGGCUAACUCCGUGCCAGCAGCCGCGGUAAUACGGAGGGUGCAAGCGUUACUCGGAAUCACUGGGCGUAAAGAGCGUGUAGGCGGGUUAAUAAGUCAGAAGUGAAAUCCUAUGGCUCAACCAUAGAACUGCUUUUGAAACUGUUAACCUAGAGUGUGGGAGAGGUAGAUGGAAUUUCUGGUGUAGGGGUAAAAUCCGUAGAGAUCAGAAGGAAUACCGAUUGCGAAGGCGAUCUACUGGAACAUAACUGACGCUGAGACGCGAAAGCGUGGGGAGCAAACAGGAUUAGAUACCCCCGUAGUC